rnacentral:rRNA from 1 species
AACCCUCGGGAUUGUAAUUUGAAGAUUUGGCAUUGGAGAAAGCUAACCCAAGUUGCUUGGAAUAGUACGUCAUAGAGGGUGACAACCCCGUCUGGCUAACCGUUCUCCAUGUAUUGCCUUAUCAAAGAGUCGAGUUGUUUGGGAAUGCAGCUCAAAGUGGGUGGUAAACUCCAUCUAAAGCUAAAUACUGGUGAGAGACCGAUAGCGAACAAGUACUGUGAAGGAAAGGUGAAAAGAACUUUGAAAAGAGAGUGAAAUAGUAUGUGAAAUUGUUGAUAGGGAAGGAAAUGAGUGGAGAGUGGCCGAGGUUUCAGCCGCCCCUCGUGGGCGGUGUACUGCCGACGCCGAGUCAUCGAUAGCGAGACGAGGGUUACAAAUGGGAGCGCCUUCGGGCGUUCUCCCCUAACCCUCCACACUGCCACCGACGACAUAAUCCACCCAUUUCACCCGUCUUAAAAA